GACAGAGGGUGCAAACGUUGCUCGGAAUUACUGGGCGUAAAGGGCGUGUAGGCGGGAAGGCAAGUCGGGCGUGAAAGCCCCAGGCUCAACCUGGGAACUGCACUCGAAACUGCCUUUCUUGAGUGCCGGAGAGGAAAGCGGAAUUCCUGGUGUAGAGGUGAAAUUCGUAGAUAUCAGGAGGAACACCAGUGGCGAAGGCGGCUCACUGGACCGGUACUGACGCUGAUGCGCGAAAGCGUGGGGAGCAAACAGG
rnacentral:rRNA from 1 species